rnacentral:lncRNA from 1 species
GCAACUGUUACAUAUACACGAAUCAUUGCAGCUCCUCAUGACUACUCUGUUCCUGUCAUGGGAAGGGAACCUUGAUAUACAGAAACUGUCGAUUUGUGGAAAGUUAGUGCUGUCGAAAUUUUACUGUCAUAUUUUCAUUCAUCAAAUAAUGGUGCAUGAUAGCGGUCAAGAUAAUAAGCGGUCAAGAGAGAUGUGAGCAGGAUCUCAAGUCUCAACUACAAAAGAUUAAUUAGUUGUUUUUUAGAGAAGAUUAAUUAGUUGUUGAUACCAUGCCAUUCUAUACAAACCUAUACGAACGUAACAAAUUCUUCCAUUUUGUAUUGCUCAAAGCCCCAAACAAUCUAGGGAGUAGAAUGCGCGUGAGAAAAUACACAUCUGUCUUUGAGUUCCUUGCUAAUUGCAAAUGAAAUGAAGGGGGCAAUAAUUUGCAUAGAAAUAUUAAGAGAACUAGUAAACCCAUAGCAUCGACUUGUUGGCAGGAUUUACCUUACGACCAAAAUUUGAAGUCAGGACAUGAAUUUCUGAAAGAAACAACUGCAAAUGGUAGGUUUGCUCACCAUGAAAUCCCGAAUGGAAAAUAGUAACAAAACGUGAACCAAAAAAAAGCCUAGCUGGACUGAAGAUUUAGCUCGCCACUGUACCCUGAUGUCGAAACCCAAUGGUGUGCUCCGCCCACCAUAUAACCACCCACAGCAGUGCCGAGGCCGGCCAGCGCUUGCUGAUGCCACCCCUCGAGCCAGUCGCAGGCUCCCAAAGCUUCAAAACCUUUGGGUAAAUGGCAAACAGUCUUAGAAAUUCUCCUAGAAAGGAACAGCUUAAAGAUUCACGUACACCUAAACCAUGUACUUGCAUGAGCACACAACUAUUAAACACUCCUUAAUCUAACUUGUGUUAUUCAUUUUCUAUAGAUGGCUUAAUAAACUCCAAAAUACAACACUCUCCUUGUCCUAUUCUUAUAUGCAACUAAACUGAUUAAUGUUUGCUAACAGGAAAAAUUGCUUGCUUUAUACUGAAUCCCUGAUUUGUUGGAACUGCCGAAGAAACUAGUUGUGAAUUCCAAUUAGGUAACUGCAUAGUGCAGCUACCUACGCCAACAGCUAUGCCUGAUUGUACUAUAUUCAAAUCAAGCCAAUUUCCUGGUGCACAUGACCAUCGUGAAGUGACUCAUGCAACCAACUUUGCUAUAAUAAACACAAGAGCAGUCGAACCCCAAUCCUAACCAAUCAGAACAUAAUUUUCUCGCCUGCGCAC